UGUUACAGGACCUGAAGGAGGAUCAGGAGCUGACCAACUAGACACAGUCGAUUGAACGACGUUCCCGAUGAUAGAGCCAAUGUCCACCUUGCAAUUCUUCUUGUCAAAUGGCUGCAUACCAGUUAAUUUUGUAGUGGUCAAUAAGGGGUGCUUUCCACUAAUCCAUUGAACUGGACAUGUCAUCUGAGGAGCUUGAUUGUGUAUGAGUGUUAUGCAGCAGGCUGAGAUCCUGAAGUCUCUGGUGAAUCUGUUUCCAUAGGACUGUUUUGGCAAUUUAUGAACUGGAGGUCAUCUUUUGUAAUUGAAGCUGAAUUGUGUUGGUAAUUUGUGGGCUGUUUUGGGGUAAUUUGUAGAUUGUUUUGGCUAUUUUUGAAUUGUACAUUUUAAUUUCUGCUGUUGGUGGUCUUCGACUGGUGCAGUGCAGGGUUUGUUCAUCUUUGUGUUUGUGAAAAUGCAUUAGCGGAUCACUUAUUUUAAUAAGAACAGUGAUGUAAAUGACAUAUGGUGUUGCCUGGGUCA